UCCCUGGUGGCUCAGAUGGUAAAGCAUCUGCUUGUAAAGCAGGAGACCCAGGUUUGAUCCCUGGGUUGGGAA
rnacentral:tRNA from 1 species